rnacentral:rRNA from 1 species
UACGUAGGGUGCGAGCGUUGUCCGGAAUUAUUGGGCGUAAAGAGCUCGUAGGCGGUCUGUCGCGUCUGCUGUGAAAACUCGGGGCUUAACCCCGGGCCUGCAGUGGGUACGGGCAGACUAGAGUGCGGUAGGGGAGACUGGAAUUCCUGGUGUAGCGGUGAAAUGCGCAGAUAUCAGGAGGAACACCGGCGGCGAAGGCGGGUCUCUGGGCCGUAACUGACGCUGAGGAGCGAAAGCAUGGGGAGCGAACAGG